GCUGGUUCUUAUAGGACAUGUGCACGUCUGCCAUCUUUAUAUCUCCACCUGUGCACACAUUGUAGGUCUGGAAUAACUCUCUGAGGAAACUCAGUUGUUAGGAUUGCUUCUGCAAAGGAGCUUUUCUUGUGUUUCCAGAUCUAUGUUUUCAUAUACACCAUAAGAAUGUAACAGAAUGUAUUAAUGGGUCUUGUACCUAUAAACUAUAUACAACUUUCAGCAACGGAUCUCUUGGCUCUCGCAUCGAUGAAGAACGCAGCGAAAUGCGAUAAGUAAUGUGAAUUGCAGAAUUCAGUGAAUCAUCGAAUCUUUGAACGCACCUUGCGCUCCUUGGUAUUCCGAGGAGCAUGCCUGUUUGAGUGUCAUUAAAUUCUCAAUCUUACCAGCUUUUGUUGGAAAAGACUUGGAUGUGGGGGGGAAAAUUUUUGAAGGUUUCUCGCGGAACCUUCUCCCCUGAAAUGCAUUAGCUGGACGCUCGCGCGGACAGUCUAUUGGUGUGAUAAUUAUCUACGCCAUUAGCUGACUGCCAUUAGUAGCACCGCUUCUAACUGUCUUCGGACAAUAUAUGACAAUUUGACCUCAAAUCAGGUAGGACUACCCGCUGAACUUAAGCAUAUCAAUAAGCGGAGGAAAAGAAACUAACAAGGAUUCCCCUAGUAACUGCGAGUGAAGCGGGAAAAGCUCAAAUUUAAAAUCUGGUGGUCUUUGGCCAUCCGAGUUGUAAUCUAGAGAAGUGUUAUCCGCGCUGGACCGUGUACAAGUCUCCUGGAAUGGAGCGUCAUAGAGGGUGAGAAUCCCGUCUUUGACACGGACUACCAGGGCUUUGUGAUGCGCUCUCAAAGAGUCGAGUUGUUUGGGAAUGCAGCUCAAAAUGGGUGGUAAAUUCCAUCUAAAGCUAAAUAUUGGCGAGAGACCGAUAGCGAACAAGUACCGUGAGGGAAAGAUGAAAAGAACUUUGGAAAGAGAGUUAAACAGUACGUGAAAUUGCUGAAAGGGAAACGCUUGAAGUCAGUCGCGUUGUCUGGGGAUCAACCUUGCUUUUGCUGGGCGUACUUUCCAGAUGACGGGUCAGCAUCAAUUUUGACCGUUGGAUAAAGAUUAGAGGAAUGUGGCAUCUUCGGAUGUGUUAUAGCCUUUGGUUGUAUACAACGGUUGGGAUUGAGGAACUCAGCACGCCGCAAGGCCGGGUAC
rnacentral:sRNA from 1 species